UACGUAGGGGGCGAGCGUUGUCCGGAAUCAUUGGGCGUAAAGAGCGUGUAGGCGGCCCGGUAAGUCCGCUGUGAAAGUCGGGGGCUCAACCCUCGAAUGCCGGUGGAUACUGUCGGGCUAGAGUGCGGAAGAGGCGAGUGGAAUUCCUGGUGUAGCGGUGGAAUGCGCAGAUAUCAGGAGGAACACCAAUAGCGAAGGCAGCUCGCUGGGACGUUACUGACACUGAGGCGCGGGAAGCGUGGGGAGCGAACAGG
rnacentral:rRNA from 1 species